rnacentral:piRNA from 1 species
UUGUAUAAUGCUUGUAUUUCGUGUC